rnacentral:rRNA from 1 species
AUUGAACGCUAGCGGGAUGCUUUACACAUGCAAGUCGAACGGCAGCGCGGACUUCGGUCUGGCGGCGAGUGGCGAACGGGUGAGUAAUGUAUCGGAACGUGCCCAGUAGUGGGGGAUAACUACGCGAAAGCGUAGCUAAUACCGCAUACGCCCUACGGGGGACAGCAGGGGAUCGUAAGACCUUGCACUAUUGGAGCGGCCGAUAUCGGAUUAGCUAGUUGGUGAGGUAACGGCUCACCAAGGCGACGAUCCGUAGCUGGUUUGAGAGGACGACCAGCCACACUGGGACUGAGACACGGCCCAGACUCCUACGGGAGGCAGCAGUGGGGAAUUUUGGACAAUGGGGGCAACCCUGAUCCAGCCACCCCGCGUGUGCGAUGAAGGCCUUCGGGUUGUAAAGCACUUUUGGCAGGAAAGAAACGUCGCGGGCUAAUACCCCGUGGAACUGACGGUACCUGCAGAAUAAGCACCGGCUAACUACGUG